UACGUAGGGGGCAAGCGUUGUCCGGAUUUAUUGGGCGUAAAGCGCGUGUAGGCGGCCAGGUAGGUCCGUUGUGAAAACUCGAGGCUCAACCUCGAGAUGUCGGCGGAAACCGUCUGGCUAGAGUCCGGAAGAGGAGAGUGGAAUUCCUGGUGUAGCGGUGAAAUGCGCAGAUAUCAGGAAGAACACCUAUGGCGAAGGCAGCUCUCUGGGACGGUACUGACGCUGAGACGCGAAAGCGUGGGGAGCGAACAGG
rnacentral:rRNA from 1 species